rnacentral:rRNA from 1 species
UACGGAGGGAGCUAGCGUUGUUCGGAAUUAUUGGGCGUAAAGAGCUCGUAGGCGGACUGUCACGUCUGCUGUGAAAAGCUGGGGCUUAACCCUGGCCUUGCAGUGGAUACGGGCAGACUAGAGGUAGGUAGGGGAGAAUGGAAUUCCCGGUGUAGCGGUGAAAUGCGCAGAUAUCGUAAGGAAGACCAGUGGCGAAGGCGGGUCUCUGGACAGUUCCUGACGCUGAGGCACGAAGGUCAGGGGAGCAAACGGG